CACAGCCCCACACAGCUGCGGCUCCGGCGCCGUCCCCGUUCAGCGCUGCAGAGGGGUUGGAGAGAGGAGCGCUCAACUAUUUGCGAUGAUUUCUUUUUUUCUUUCCUUUUUAAUUGUAGAUGAAAGACCGCACGAUGUCUCUUUCCGUAUGAAUUUCUCAUUGCAGAAUGAAGGCGCAUCGAUGUGAGAAACCGGGCGUUUCUAUGAGAUGACGGCAUUGUUUUUUUUCUGCCCUGCCAGAACAGUGCUGUCCUCCUCCUGCAUGGCCAUCUCCUCGCCUAUGAGCCUCGCAUUGCUGCGGGGCAGCUGCGUGCGGGGUUGCGUUGGCCCCGCGCACCGGGAGGUGGCACUGCAGCCGCAGCUUUGCGUGCCUUUGCACAGGUAAAGUGUGUUUUACUGGGAAAACAGUGGGAAGGAGCAAAACGUGGGAGCGUGGAGCAAGGAGGGUUUCCCUGGCACUUGAUCAAUCUAGUGCUCAUAGGACUCCGCUCAUCACUUUCAGCUCUUGCAUAGCCCUUUUAUGCAGAUGGGAAUGGCUUUCUGCAAGAGCAACGGCCAAAGACCAUUGUUGGAGGGUGGCAUCCACCCAAAAAGAAAGGAAACCUGGGCUCACUGCUAGAGCAGACGUGGGAAAAUCAACACCUUGGCAACAUGAGCACACUGCAGAUCUGGAAACAGCACUAAACCUGUCCUGGCUGCACAUGGGAAAAGGUGAGAACAUUCAGCUGAGUUACAAUCUAUUAUUCAAGAUAACUUGGAAAGCUUUACAAUUUUCUUUUCAGUGAAUUCGCUUCUGUAUAUAGCACUAGAGUGGUUAAUUUUCUAUGAAAACCCAGAAAGCUGCCUUCAAAAGAUAAUAAAGCUUGAUCAGU
rnacentral:lncRNA from 7 species